AAACGCUGGGUUAGCAGUCUGGUCCAAUUGAGUGACAGUUGAGAGAGUAAACCCCUCCCACUCCUCUACGCAUCAGACAAACUUUACCUUCGCGGGCAUUUUGAUCCACUUCAUCUCGGAAAGCUGUUAUUCGGAGAAUAAAAGGUUGCAGAAUAACAGCUAAUAUUAAUGGAUCAUUCUAUUCAAGAGAAUGUCAACUGGAACGUGGAUGUUUUCAUAACAGGCUUAAAGAUGAACAAAUUGAUAAAGAAACCCUCCUGCUGGACAUCCACUUCCAAAAGUGCACACCACACUGUUGUCUACAACUCCUAGGAAAAGAAUCCUCUUAAGUAAGACUGCUCCGUGGAUAUGUCAGGUUAAGCAGUGCUGAAACCGAAAGAACUAACACUAUUUAAAAUGUUUUGUGAGUUUAUAUGAAGAGGAAAGUUACGGUGUCCCUUUUUCACAUCCAUAACGCUUGUUUAUUUCUUUUUUUAUAGAAAACUUGUGCAUAGACUUAUAUUUUAACAUAUAAAUGCGGUUCUAUUAACAAGGGUUUAGUAAAAUACUUUUUAUAGCGUUUUGAAGUGUUAAGUUGUCUAACUAUUUAUAUUUACUUGUGCCACUUUAAUAACCUUGUUAAAUGUUUAUGUUAAAAUCUAAACUAAUGUAAUUUAUUGAAAUUAAUGUUCUUUAAAUAUGUAUAAACAUACAUUUCAUCAAAGUGUUUUAUAUGCCAUUUUAUUGUUCAUUGAGCAUAACAUAUUGCAUGUUUUUAUGAAUUCCUUUUGUCUUGCAUUUUGAUCCUUAAUAAAACUUUUGAUUCUUACUGAUGCCUCGAGUAUUUCUCUGUGAUUUUGUUAUUAUUAUUUUUAAACAUUUCGGGUUUGUUUUAAACCAUCAAUGUAAUUUUUAAGCAAAAGUUGAUUUAAAUAAAACAACCCAGCAUGUUGGGUCAAAGAUUUAACCCAACUGGCUGGGUUAAAAUAACCCAACGCUGGGUUUGUCCAUAUUUGACCCAAUGUUGGGUUACCAAAAUAACCCAA